GGGGUGCAGCAGGCGGCGAAACCUCUGCAAUAGGCGAAAGCCUGACAGGGUUACUCUGAGUGAUGCCCGCUAAGGGUUUUCUUUUGGCCCCUCUAAAAAUGGUGCAGAAUAAGGGGUGGGCAAGCCUGGUGUCAGCCGCCGCGGUAAUACCAGCACCCCGAGUGGUCGGGACGAUUAUUGGGCCUAAAGCAUCCGUAGCCGGUUCUACAAGUCUUCCGUUAAAUCCAGCUGCUUAACAGUUGGGCUGCGGAGGAUACUAUAGAGCUAGGAGGCGGGAGAGGCAAGCGGUACUUAGUGGGUAGGGGUAAAAUCCGUUGAUCCACUGAAGACCACCAGUGGCGAAGGCGGCUUGCCAGAACGCGCUCGACGGUGAGGGAUGAAAGCUGGGGGAGCAAACCGGAUUAGAUACCCGGGUAGUCCCAGCUGUAAACGAUGCAGACUCGGUGAUGAAUAGGCUUCGUGCAUAUUCAGUGCCGCAGGGAAGCCGUUAAGUCUGCCGCCUGGGGAGUACGGUCGCCAAGGACUGAAAACUUAAAGGAAAUUGGCGGGG
rnacentral:rRNA from 1 species